rnacentral:lncRNA from 1 species
CGUCACCAGCAACGUAGUGCACGUCAGUACCAGAGGGAGCUUUUGCGACGACCUGUGGGAGAUCCAGCACGGUGCACUUCAAAUCCGGGAACGCCGCUGCUAUGGUCGCAGCGGCCCCGCCAAGGCCGCCGGCGACAUCGACGAGGGAGGUUAGCCCACGGAAGACCUCGGCGCACUCCCUGAGGACGAUCGGCAUCAGGAAGGCGGUGUCCGCGGCCAUGGCGUCGUUGAACCGGAACGCGGCGGCGUCAUGUUCCGCUCUCUCCCAGACCGUCUGGCCGCCGUACGCCAUGGCGAACGGGGACAGACCCGGCUGCUGCUGGUCGCCCUGCUGCCGGAACCACUUGCGCAUGCCCAUGCUAACCGGAGAAUCUCGGACCGGCCCGAGCAAGAGCUGCACGGUCAGGAAAUGAGGCAGUUGGCCCGUCGCCGUCGAGCUCUUGUCCCUGACGAGGAGGCGGGAGGCCGCUGUCAGCUUGUAGACCGCGGCGUCGUGCCUGCUUUCUGCCGCCGCCGCCGCCGCCGCCUCGUCCGGGUGCUGGACGAUGAAGAUGCCCGAAACGGUGAGCACGCGCAUGACGCGGCGCAUGUCGCGGAGCCUGCACGGGCUGAUCCCGGCCUCGGCGAGUAUCUGGGGCAGGGUGGCGGCGCCGCCGAGGCGGUGGACGGCGUCGGCGAUGCGGAGGUCCAAGGCGAUGGCGAGCGCGGCGGACUUGAAGAAGCCGAGGGACUGGUGCCAGAGCUGGAGCUCGGCCUGGAGCAGCUCCUGGCUGCUGUACUCGGCGAGCAAUGCCAUUACUGCCCCGAUCGACCAAUCAGUCGAUCUUGAUGGCUAAUUCUUCCUUGUUCAGGGGUUGCUGAGCUUUGGGUGGAGCCAUACACGCAUCGGGUACUUAUAGUUGCAUGGCAGCUUGGUUAAGUAUUCUACCCCCAACGAACAUGAGCAUUAUUCUACAAGCUCUCAUUGGCUGUAUAUGCAAGCAUGUGCAGCCCUGGAAAUCAAGACGAUAUCCCAGCCGGUGCCCAGUUGACUUUGAAAGGAGGAACGAGUCAUGAGAGAUUUUUUGAAAAUAGAAUGAUAGGCUGCUUCUGCAUAUGUACUUAUAUACCAAUGAAAACUAAUUGUAUAUAUAGGGAAUUUUGAAGCACUUAGUCAACUACUAGCUGCAGUAGCUUGAAUGGUCGCAUUACAUACGCACACGGCAGCUACUUAGUUUAGGCUGCUAGGUGACCGCGAGCGGAAGCUUACGUUGCCUUGGUCAGAAUUCGAGCUAUAUAGAGAGGAGAGGCUGCGCGGCUGCGCCAAGGUAUCAAUCAAUCUUAUCCUUGACCGUGAUGGCUGAAGAAGUCUUCCAUGUCUGCGCCUCCAAAGUACUAAACAAGAGCACCAGGAAUUCAGGAUCUCAUGACUGCUCAUCACUUUUGUUUUUUUAUAACUAUCUGCUCAACGAUCACUUUUGGAGUUUUUGGACAGCUACCAUGCUAGUUGAAACCACGCACCUUCAUGUUGCCGUCACAAGACUACCGUUUCAAUAUGUCCAAGUUAACAGUGGACUGAUCAGUUGCAAUCUGCAAGCGAACCAUCUUCACUGACAAUAGCUAUCAUGGAUGCACAUGUAUAUCAAGCAUAAGUACUUGCAAACCAAUCAUUGAGUCUUUCACCGUUGCACGGUUUUGUUUUUAAAAGUAUGUUUGCAACUAGUCACUUCUGAAGGUAUUUGCAAUUGCAAAAAUAGUUUCUAACGUCUAUUACCGAAAAAAUUGUCCUUUUGCAUCUUAGUUUUUAAUUAUGUUGAGUUUGACAAUGAAAUUUUAUGGAUGCAUAUAUCAUGCUCAUCCCCAUCUAUAGUAAAAUUUAUAAAAUAUUCUCAAACCUUUUAAGUAGAGUGAAAAUUAAAUCCACAUUCUUGUGUCGUUUACACCACCUAUAUACUUCACCCAAGAAUGCAAUCAAAUAUGCUCACCCACCUACUGCUAGAUGUGCCUCUUCAAUAUUCAACUUAUUUUUCAUGGCUGUCCUCUCCUUAUGUCGACUGCUUCCGACGCUGCAUUGUGCACCACCGUAGUCGCUGUGCUUCCUUCGUCUCCGGUGACGAUGACAAUGCCUGCUUUGCCGCCACCAUUUUUCAGCGUGGUGGUUGUCCGAUUUCGAGUGAGAAGCAGUGUACAUCUCUAAGGCAGAUUCAUUUUUCACCGAUCCUCCAUCUGAGAAGAAGAGGAAAAGGAAGAGGAGGAGGAAGAGGAAGGAGAAGCAAGAUGACGUUGCUGCCAGAAAGCCUGAUGACAUGGAUUUGAACAUAAAUGACGACGACAUGGUAGAUUAGCAAACACAGUGGAAUAAAAACUAGACUCAAGUAUGUGCCCUUCAUGUAUACUUUGAGCAAAGCACUAUACAUGUGCAAACUUUUUUCCAGGUCUAAGUAGGCAAGCACCAAAGUAAUAAAACAGGUUUUACUCCUUUUGUAGGGUCAGAUGCCCGAAUAUGAAUCCCCCACAUAUGUAUAGGGCCACUUAUUGGACACUAUGCAUCUUAACAAUAAUUCAGAACCAGUAUAUAUAUAAUUUUGUGAUGUCUUAUUCUUUGGAUGGUGUUCUGUUCACCAAGCUUUCAAGGAUAGAGCUCGAUAACAGAUCGAACACCGAGAACAGGUAUAAUUUUGUAGUCCUUGAAUCCAGCCUCGAAGAAAAUCUUCUUCCACUCUUGCUCAUCUCGUUCAACUCCAUUGAUGUUCAUGAUUAAGAGGUCAUACAAAACUUGUGUCUCUGCAUGCUUGAUAUCAUCUGACGGCCCAGAUCCGACCACCAUAUCUAUUAUUAUUAUCUUUCCUCCAGCAUCUCGUGGAGAUAUAACUUGUUUGCAGUUCUUCAGUAUCUUGACACACUCGUCAUCGCGCCAAUCAUGCAAAAUCCACUGGAAAAAACAAGCAAUCAUGCAUCAAUUUUCAAUCCAUACAUAAAUUAAACAUACAAUAGCUUAGGGCAUUUGCUGGUUGCUGUCACUAAUGUGCAUUCGAAACAUUUGGGUACUGGGAUGUACCUUGAGGAACACAGCGUUCGCCGGUGGAAUACUCUCAAACAUGUCACCAGCAACGUAGUGCACGUCAGUACCAGAGGGAGCUUGUGCGACGACCUGUGGGAGAUCCAGCACGGUGCACUUCAAAUCCGGGAACGCCGCUGCUAUGGUCGCAGCGGCCCCGCCAAGGCCGCCGGCGACAUCGACGAGGGAGGUUAGCCCACGGAAGACCUCGGCGCACUCCCUGAGGACGAUCGGCAUCAGGAAGGCGGUGUCCGCGGCCAUGGCUUCGUUGAACCGGAACGCCUCGGCGUCACCCUCCGCUCUCUCCCAGACAGACUGGCCGCCGUACGCCAUGGAGAACGGGGACAGACCCGGCUGCUGCAGGUCACCCUGCUGCCGGAACCACUUGCGCAUGCCCAUGCUGACCGGAGAAUCUCGGACCGGCCAGAGCAAGAGCUGCACGGUCAGGAAAUGAGGCAGCUGGCCCGUCGCCGUCGAGCUCUUGUCCCUGACGAGGAGGCGGGAGGCCGCCGU